GACGACCGCAUGGGAGAGCCCGGUAGAAACCUGUGUUUCGAUCCGGCGCCGACGGAGCAACCCCCCAGGAAACUCUCAGGCACCAGGAACCGUGUGGUCUUG
rnacentral:ncRNA from 2 species